rnacentral:rRNA from 1 species
GAUCCUGGCUCAGGAUGAACGCUAGCGACAGGCCUAACACAUGCAAGUCGAACGGGGCAUAGAGAUAUGCCUAGUGGCGGACGGGUGAGUAACACGUGAGCAACCUAUCCUAUACAACGGGAUAACACAGAGAAAUUUGUGCUAAUACGGUAUAAGACCACACUCCGGCAUCGGAGAGGGGUAAAAGCUGAGGCGGUAUAGGAGGGGCUCGCGGCCCAUUAGCUAGUUGGAGAGGUAACGGCU